CCUACGGGAGGCAGCAGUGAGGGAUAUUGGUCAAUGGGGGAAACCCUGAACCAGCAACGCCGCGUGAGGGAAGACGGUUUUCGGAUUGUAAACCUCUGUCCUCUGUGACGAUAAUGACGGUAGUAGAGGAGGAAGCUCCGGCUAAUUACGUGCCAGCAGCCGCGGUAAUAAGUAGGGAGCAAGCGUUGUCCGGAUUUACUGGUGGGAAGGGGUGCGUAGGCGGCCCUGUAAGUCGGAAGUGAAAUCCAAGGGCUUAACCCAGGAACUGCUUUUGAAACUGUAGGGCUUGAGUGAAGUAGAGGCAGGCGGAAUUCCCGGUGUAGCGGUGGAAUGCGUAGAGAUCGGGAGGAACACCAGUGGCGAAGGCGACCUGCUGGGCUUUAACUGACGCUGAGGCACGAAAGUGUGGGUAGCAAACAGGAUUAGAUACCCUAGUAGUC
rnacentral:rRNA from 1 species